rnacentral:rRNA from 1 species
AUGCCUCUUUCUAUGCCUUUGCCAUGCAAUUGUGACCCUUGCUUGCAUUUACCCAUGAUGCACCAUUAUGAUAUUCCUAUGUGUAUUUGCAUGCUUGGUGGAGAUCCUUGUUGCUAUUGCCAUGUUUAUCAUGUGCCCCAUGCUAUUGAUGCCUGUUGUGUUGGGAGAGUCAUGAUGUGCCAUUGCUAUUUACAUAUGGUCUCUCGCCAAUACAUUCAAGCUAUUCUACUCAUAUCUUGCUUUCAUGCUUGUGCUAUGACAUGUGAAUUAUUCAUGCCCACUAUUUGCACACAUGACAUGCUUGCUUUGAUUCCUUCUAGUACGUUGCAUCUUUGCACUACUAGCUUGCUUGACUUGAUCACUAUGAUUACUUGCUUGGUUGCAUCACCCAUGUUCCACUAUUACUUGCUUUCUUGGGUUGACAUGUAUAUUGAUGCCUCUCACUUGAUUUGUCAUGAUCAUUGCCUCUUGUCUCCAUUAGUUGCAUCUCUCAUAUCACCUUAUAUUGAGUUCCAACUUGUUAUGCUUAUUGAUCUUGGAGACUUGGACACUUUACAUGUGAUGCAUGCUUGUUUGAUUGAGCCUCCUGUAUUUGGUUGUUCUUACAUCAUAUGCCUCCAUACUAUGAAAUGCUCCCUUGUCCUUUCUUAUGAUGAGCAUGAUGCAUACACUUGUUCGGUAUAUUACCACUCGAAUGAUAGGUUUUGCAUGUCCGCUAACCUCAUUUGUUUUUCCGAGUGUCUGUCAUGUUCUUUCAUUUUGGAUGAUUCACAAGGCGGUGCAAUUAUGCGACACCUUGGCCAUGGGAAGGCAUACAUGAUGUGCAACUCCAACUUUCUUGAGGUGAACUCCUUCUCUUUGAGCCAUCCUCAAAUAUGCAUAUUGGAUGGGUCAUUCUUUCAUUGUUGUUUCCUUCUUGUUUUCUACAUGUUACAUCUAUUGGAUGGAGGAGCAACAUUGGAGAUUAGCUCUAUGGACCUUCUCACUGAGGAGUGCUCGAACUUAUUGGAUGCACCUUCGAGCCUCCACUCUUGCCACGACAUCGAGCAUUGGUACACCAACACCUCCAUAUUUGUUGAUUGUGCUCAUACAUGCCAUGCUCGACGGACAUAUCAUACUCACCGCAAGUUUGCACCCUAUGCAUGGAUUGACUCACAUUAUGAUUGCCUUGUUGCAUCUUGUAUUACCAUGUUAUCCAUGAUAUAUGAGCUUGUUCACUUCCUUAGCAAAUUUGUUGUGAUCUUCCUUGAUGGCAUAUUCAUACAUCAUAUUGCCCAUCAUCAAUUGCAUGACAACAUAUUCACUUUGAGCCCCAAUUACCAUGUUCAUGCUCUUCAUAAACCAUCCCAUUAUGACAUCAUUUUGCACAAUGGUAGAAUUUGUCGCUUUGUGCACCAUGCUAAUUACCACAUGAAUGCUUUGCAUAUCAUUCUAGAUCAUAUUGAUAAGCAUCAUGUGUCUUGCCACACACUAUCUUGCCGCACGGACUAUUCUUACAUGAUGGACACUUUGUUUGUGCUAACCAUUGUAUUUCCGAGUGUCGCUUGUGUUUGCUGUUUUUGCAUGUCUAUCACUCCGGUGACACCUUGGACUACUUGGAUUGCGCCAUGUCUUCAACUUCGUCCAACUACAAGUUCGUCCACGACAACCGUUUCCAUGGUGAUGAGGAUCAUGAUCCGAGGUCGGAUCUUUCCCAAGGGGGGGGGGGAGAUGAUACGGAGCAUCCCACGUUCAUCCCCAUCUACACUCCGACUACUCUCUAAGCCCCAAGAGGACAUAUGA